rnacentral:lncRNA from 1 species
UUUCUCUUCUUCUUUACUCUAUACGUUGGUGUUAUAACCAAUAAUCACCAAAGCGAAGUUCUGUCCGAUUGAUUCAGGAACCAACGAACGAAUGCCAAAGUGUUGUACUUUGUGAAUUUCGGUAAACGGAAUCCAAAGUACUAUACCUUGUGAUUUCGAUAAACGGAAUCCAAAGUGUUACAUUUUGUAAAUUUUGUUAAGGUUCGAAUCUCGUGACUACCGUUAGGUUUGAUUUGGGUUUUACACAAAUACGUAUUCCAUUCUGUUAAACUAUAUGUUUACUACCGAAAAUACUUCCCACUACACACUCACAAUCAAACAAACUAUUAAAUCAUCAGAAGAUCCAGAAUAAUAAAGGACAUGCUUAAUUAUCGGAAGAAGUAGAAUCAAGAAGUUGUUAACUCAAUCCUACAUGCUGAUUUGUAAUUACAGUAGAUUGGCGUAAGGAUUGGAUCCGGCACUGAAAGGACUUCAAGAAGUGGCUUAUUUUAUUAAUUAAAUCAAAUUAAGAAAUAUUGUUUUUAUUAAAAGCUACCUUUGUAAAACAUGGAAUUUAUUCCAUCUAUUUAAAUAAAAUCCGGUGUUUCUAAACUCUGAUAUUUUUCCUAACUCACGGUCCUGAUGAAAUUUCCGCUGCAAUAUUUUUCAAAAUAAUCACCGGUACCACUGGACUGCUCACGGCACCGAUUCCGGCCAGGAUGGGGUCGGGGGUCGUGACACAAUCUAAAAGGAUCUCCUAUGCUAGUAUAAAUAGGGGAGUCCUUAGUCGAUUAUGGUUGUUGAUUCACUAACAAACUUUGUGCCUUUUGUGCGAUUGGAGUACCAGACGAUUCUAGAAAUCAUGUGCUCUUGUUCUUGAAUCAAUAUACUUUGCUUUUCAAUCUUUGACAUCUUGCUUGUAUUUCCGCUACUUGUUUGGUGUUUGAUAUUCGAUUGUAUUGUUCCUGGACUUACAAUUGGUAUUCGAGCCUAAGUAGUCUCACGAAGGCUCGGUUGGAUCAGAUAUCUUGAAGUUUGAAGGCUGUUUUUGCUGCUGAUCGCGUUCAAGUUCGACAAGAAAGGUCUGUUUUUCUGCUUUGUUUCGAUUUUAUCUUACAGAUUUAUUUUUUUCGACUGUUGGUUGGGUCAUUGGGAUUUCGAGUUGUCUAGUUUUCUUGCUAAAAAUCUGCGUAUUUGCAUCUGAAUAUCGACACAAGUUAUAGCACAAACACUGAUUUUAACGUGGUUUUCUGUCGGUUCGAAAUCAAAAUUAAACAAUUGUGAAACAAAAGGGAUGCUUUAAUCUGGAAAAUUGAUCUGUUUUGGUUUAAAUUUUCGUGAAAACCAAUUGAUUUAGAUAUCAAAAAUUAAACUUCAUUUAUUGAUUUUUGAGAUUAAAUCUUUGGCUUGUUGAAAUUGAAAGUUUUUUUAAGUACACACAUAGAUUUUUGACUGAAAAUUUUGUUAAGGAUCUUAAAAUUUCUGGGUUUUUGUGCUUCGUUUUCAUCAAUUAUUCAUCGGAAUUUAAAAAAAAAAUUGUGGGUUUGAUCUAUUUUUGUGCAAGUUGACUGUGUUUGCAGAAAGUUUGGAAAGUUGGUGCAGGAAAUAUCCAACAGAUUCAAAAAAAUUAAACUCAUCAGAUUUUUUGGGAUCUUGGUUGAAAAUUGGGAAGAUUAUCAUUCCAAAAUUCAACUUGUGCGACUGAAAGGCUUGUACGAUUGGUGUUUUGGACCUUUAAAGUACUGAGGCCCAACGACAAUACAUCUUGUGCGACUUGAUUUGGGUUGUGCGAUCAAAAUUGUUUGGGCCAUUAAGGAUUCAAGCCCAACAUUUAACUCUUGUGCGAUUGAAUGCAUCUUGUGCGAUUGAGAAGAUAUUGUACGCUCCACUGUUUGCUUUUGAACUGGUGUCAGUAACCUUGUGCGACUGGACUUCUUGUGCGACGUAAAAGGUUUAUAUUGAAAGGGUUCACAUUAACUUGUGCGUUUGGCAAAAGGUUCAAAUUGAAAAAGUCUUGUGCGACUCACCUUGUGUGAUCCAUCUUGUGCGAUUGGACAAAGGUUCAGUUGAAAGGGGUCUUGUGUGAUUCAUAUUGUGCGACCGAGAUUGGACCUAUUCACGUGGACUGGACCAUUUGAACUCGUGAACUGUUUAGAUUGAAUUUUGAAUUAUUUGUGAACCAUCUGAAUUAUUGUUUGAACUGUAUUGUAAUCAUUAGUGAUAUUCAUUUGAUCUUUACAUUUAAUAUUACGUGU